ACGGGUGAGUAACGCGUAGAUAACCUGUCUUCAUGUCUGGAAUAAUACGCCGAAAGGGGUACUAAUACCGGAUAUCUUGCUUUUCAUAAGUUAUGCAAGCAAAGGUGGCCUCUGCAUAUGCUACUGCAUGAAGAGGGGUCUGCGUACCAUUAGCUAGUAGGUGGGGUAAUGGCCUACCUAGGCGACGAUGGUUAGCGGGUCUGAGAGGAUGAUCCGCCACACUGGCACUGGAACACGGGCCAGACUCCUACGGGAGGCAGCAGUGAGGAAUAUUGCGCAAUGGGGGAAACCCUGACGCAGCGACGCCGCGUGAGUGAGGAAGGCCUUCGGGUCGUAAAGCUCUGUCAAGAGGAAAGAAGUGUACAAUGGCUAAUACCUGUUGUAUUUGACGGUACCUCUAAAGGAAGCACCGGCUAACUCCGUGCCAGCCGCCGC
rnacentral:rRNA from 1 species